UCGGUGUGAGGAGUCUACUCCUCUACCUCUAGACAUGCAGCUGUUUGGCUGAGGGGUUUGGUUUGCCAAAAGCACUAGCUGAGUCUAACAUCAAGUUUUAGCUUUUCAAGUUCUAGAAUAAUAACUUAGACUAGAUGAGAACCUAUCUAUUCAUACAUGAUAUCAAACAUUAUAUCAAUCAACAUCUUUUGCCAGUAUCUCAUUUCCACUUAUUACUCAAUGCAGUACAAUGGAUCAAGCAGUCUCAUUAGCUGCGAGAAGCAGACGAUUCGAAUCGAGUUUUAACCUUGCAAGGUAAACCUAAACACACGACAUGUCAGGGCACUCCGUCCCCACACAUGUCAACCGUCCCCAUCGAUUCCCCGUUCGCGUCCAGGCCUCACCGCCUUGGCAUACAAUGCUCCACUGACCCCGGCCGCCGCCGUGCAGUGGCCGCACUUGUACCCACCAUAUCUAGAAUGGGAGACCCAGUCUCAGGUCGCGUGAGGGAUAAAGUCCGCGCCCGGCUUCACUCAGGUACUAGGUUUACCGGUUACCAUUUUUCCCGACAUGUGCUUAGUAUGUUCAAACGUUUGACACAGGUAUCCGCACGUUAAUUCUUAUUCCAAUUUUGUCUCAUAGACAACGCAUCCCCAUGGAUCCGUGUCCACAGACCAUCAUCAUUCCGUUAUCAAAAAUGGAUACAACCAAUUCCUGACCUCGCGCGAGUGCUAGAAAAAUCACUCGACUUCUACCGAGAUCCUGAUUUAGCAUAGCAGCUACUCGACCUAGCAUACUAGUAUCCAUCUCAAAAGGAAUCCUGAGUUCAUGCAACUAGGGUUUCAACCAACUCCUACACUUAAGUGCACGGUACAAGCCUACAAACAUUAAGUGUAGUAAAAUAGCAUAUAUAAACGGUUAUGCAUAAAACCGGGGCUUGCCUUUAAUUUAACACUUAGGUAGUGUUUGUUGGGGGAGGUGCUCGCUUGGCGAGCAUCCACUGGUUAAGUCCAUCCUUUCUUGGGUCGUCCACCGACUGCAUCUUGUGGUUGGCACCACAUCACUUGCACGAUCAUCCUGUCUCGGUCCUAAAUGAGAUGCAAGAUGCAUAUGUAUGAAUAUGAUGAAAUAUAUCACAAGAUAAUCCCAAAAUGGACGGUAGCGAACUAAACAUUAAAUUGUAAGACACUGCGACAAUUGUACGCAAGCACUAGUUAUCUAUACGUCAUCGGGCAUACGUAGUCAAUCAUCACUGGAAAACCACAAACACUUCCUAUAAUUAUCUAUUGCAAACACGACAUCAUAAGUACAAGCAUUCGCCACGUUCACUUUUAUCAUUCAUUGGUUACUUAUUAUUAAACUAGUUAAGUACGCAUAAAUUUACGAUGACUUACACAUAGACAGACUUAGUUAAAAAAGAAUAGUUGCUUAAUCGGGUUUUACAAUCAUUCACAACCUUCUACUGCAAGCAUACACCCCAGAGAACACACAUGAGGAGAUAGUUUAUUCACAAUUACAAAUUGUACUACUUUAAUGACGUUGGUUACUUAGUAGUAUUAACAGAAAGGCAAAGACAAGACAUUAUCAUUUUGUUUCUUCGAACAUAUAACUGCAUUGCUAAGUGUUGAUUAAGCUAAGCUACGUAUUAGACCUUAACCAAUUUAGUUCACUAACUUAGUGAGAUGUGUACUAUUUACUUAUAUAUAACCUGAUUAUAUUAGUUACUAUCAUUGUUACUCAUAUUCACUUAAAACCAAAACAAGCAAGCAAUCACUCAAGUCAAACACAAUAGAGUAGAGCAAUCAAUCACUUCUAACACAUUUAGGACAGCAGCACAGUAGUUUUUGUUUUAAUCAUAACUCUUCAAAUAUUAGUUCAAAAUUAUCAAACUAGGAUUUUCUGGAAAGCUUAAAAAGUGUUCUACAACUUUGAUAUUUUUAUCUCAGCAUGAUUAGACUCUUAGCAAGGCCGAAUUGUGUAAACACAGCAGCUCUGUCCAGAUUUGGACAGAUUCAGACUUGCGACUUCAAAAAUUCACAACUACAGAUUCAGACAUCCAAACAAAGCGAUCCUAGACUUUCUGGAAAGGUAAUAAAAUUUUCUACAUAUCAUUUAUAAACAUAUCAAGGUGAUUCAAUAUUUAACUAAGGACAAAAGACACUAGAAGGCUUUGCUGUCCAGAAUUGGACAGAUUCAGUCUUCAGACUUUAAACAUCCAUAACUUAAUCUUCAGAUCACCAAGAAGAGUGAUCCAAGACUUUUUGAAAAGCUCAGCAAAAGCACUACAUAACUUUUAUAAUCACCAAAAAGUGAUUCCAUGUUUAACUAAAUCAAACAAUACAUUUUUCGAAAUCUGUUCUGUCAGUGGACAGAACACAGCAACCAGUUUGUAAAAUUCAUAAUUCUCAAACUGUCAGGCCUAUGGUUGUGAAAUUUUAACACAAGCAAGAUAAGAAAAGCAUCUAAAAUUUUCUUAUAAUGACCAUGAACAGAUUGUAACAUUAAAUUAGGCAAACAAUGCAGUUUCUGAAAUCUGUACAGAAUUUGGGCAGAUUCAGUUACUGAAUUUGUGAAAAGCACAACUUCUAAAUGAUCAGACGUAUGACUGUCAAGUUUUAACACAAGAACGUUAAUAGAGUUAUCUAUAACUUUAUUGUGACCAUCAAUAACUGAUUUUAACAUUAACUUAAGCAACAAUUGCAAUCUCUGAAAUCUGUUCAAAAAUUGGACAGAUUCAGUUACUAAACUUGUGAAAAGUAUAGCUCCUAAACAAUCAAUUCUUAGCUCAUGCAUUUUUAGGACAAGCUACAUACACAAGUAAACUACAACUUUUAUAUAGCACAUAUCUACAGAAAACACAAUUUACUUUACUAGAUUACUCACACAACCAAAACUGUACAUCCAUAAAAUUCAGUUUGCUAGCACAAGAGCACUUAACUAAAUCACCAAGCAAACUCAUAGAGAUACUAUCACCAAUUUCUUAAAUUCAAACCAUUAUGACCUAGUUGUAAAGUUUUAAUUUAUAUCAAGGCACUUAAGUAUUUCAAGAAACAUGCAUGCCCUUGUUUACUUCUAAUUUUUCACUAAUUGUUCUUAUAAUUAUAAAAUGUGUGUCAUUUUAGUACCAUAUAAAACUAUCUAAUUUGGGGCUGCAAUUUUUAUGAGGCAUAGGUAAUAACAAAUCAUGACCAAUGUAUAAAUUUCACAUGCCCAGGUUUUAUAUUUUAUUUAAUACAAAAAUAACAAUUUGUUAAUGCAAUAAAGCUUGUGAGAGCAACUUAAUUCUAAAAUUAAUUAUUUUCUGUGGAUGCAUGACCAUAUUAAGUUUUCUUAGCCUACUAUAAUGUCAUGCAAGGACAGUGGAACACCAUUUUACAUUUUUGCAUCUAUACAUUAUUUUUAAAUCAUUUAAAACUAUUUAAGGUGCAUUAAACAAGUUAAAUUACUAACUUAAUCAUACAUGCACCACAAUUCAUGAAAUUUUUACCAGUCACUAAGCAUCACACCAAGUGUCUACUGUAAACAUUUGAAUCUAUUUGGAGCACUAGAGCUACAGAUCUAAAAAUAACAAGCAAAUAAACCUUCCUUUCUCUAUUUAACUUGUUUUAAUUAACACACCAAGAAAACAGUGAACAACAUAUAAGUUUUAUAUUUUUCCUUGAUGGGGUAUGACAACAUCUAACUAACAAAACAAGUUUCAUCAUUUUUGGAUUUUUGUAAUUAAAACUAUGGAGAGAUGCAAGUUUGUUUAUUCUCUAAACCUGUUUUUAAAUACGAAUUUUUACAGAAAAACUUUUCCACUAAAACAUGCCAACAUAUAGAUCCAAUAGUUAGAGCAUUUCAUAAGAAAGCCAACAAAACAAAUUUCACGAUUUUAGGAGCUCUAAAACUUGAAAUAUGAAUUUUAGAACACAACACAAAAAUCUGUAAUUAGUGUGCACACUCACAUUGGCCCUGGGCCCACAUGUCAUAGACAGCGGGGGUCUUCUUCUUCCCUUGACUUCUACACGCACAGCAACAGGGGCAAUCUGUAGGGCGCGUGCUCCAGGUCGGCUAAAGAGAAGCUAGGCGCCAAGCUAUAGACUAGAGGGGCGGCAACAAAGAAACAACGAGAGUAAACUCGAUCUGCCCACCCAAGGAGGGCUCAGCUGUCGAAGUUGAAGGGGAUGUCGCCAUGAGAGCUACGUCGGGCACCAGCCAUGGAAAAAAAGGCUUCCCUGCGCUAGAGAGGGGGAGAGGAGGGAGAAGCGCCGUGGAGAGGGGAGGUUCUCGGCCAUGGCAGCAGCAGGGAGGGGCACGGGGUAUAAAUAGAAGGGAGUGAGCUUCAACCAUUGGUGGCGUGGGCGGCAUUGCUGCAGAGCUCAGAGCAGGACAGUCUGCUGGCAGGUGAUGGCAGGACGACUUUGGACGUCCAGUUUUGGCAUCUUCCUCUUGGAAUCGGAUCUUGGCCACUGCACAAAAUAUCUUCCUUGAUGUAUAAUCUACAACUCGUUUAUAGAGAUUGAGGUGAUUCGGGCAGUGGUUAGAAAGUUAUAGACCCACGAAAACUGGUUUGUCAGUGUGUCAGAAAACAGUGGAAACUCGCAAAAACUGAAUGUCAAAGCAUGUCAAACGGAAUCGGAUGAAUGCCACCUUUUAAUAUGUUGUGCCCCUAUUAGUUAUUAACAACUUUUAUAUUUGGGAAAACUUGAAUUGUGCAACAAAAAUUUGGGAACGCGAGACGUCGACUCGAACGAUGCUGAUUUCAGACUUAGAAGAAUUCGAAUUCUGAAAUCUGAUUUUUAUUCUGUCUUGAUGGCACUGUUUGAGAUACUUAGAGAUUGAAUCAAGGUUUGGUUUAAAUAAAAUAUUUGUUGUAUAACACAUGUUCUACAAAUUUUAUUAAAGGUCAAACCUCAUAUCUUGAAUAUAAAUAAAAGUUUCACUUUGGUCAAGGUAGCAUCAUUAUAAUGCUUCAAACUAUAUUUUUAAGGCAAUCGGGGUAUUUUCUCGGUAUUUCCUUGGCAUUUUCUCUACAUGAACCCUUAAUAACUUUUGUUGUAGAGUUGAUUUAGAGUGUUUUGGGAAAGUUGCCAUAACUUGUUUGAAUUUCUAAAUUUGCUUUUACUUAAUCGAGCAGUCUCAGGUAAGCGUAGGAUUUAUAAUUUCACACGAAUAUUUGGUUCAAACUUUAAGAAAUCUUUAGAAUACGCUUGAUAGAUAGAGAUGGAUGAUGACAUAAAUAUAACAAGCUGAAUUGCAUAAUAAAUAAUUAGAGGUUGACACUAUAGAGAUUUCGCUGAAGAAUGCGGAUUCGAAUUAAGUAUUUGGACGUAGACCGACUAUCGAGAAAGCGGAUUCGGACAUAGAUCGGAUAAUAUCACAACUGUUAAGAGUCCAAAUAAAUGAGUCUGGACAAGAGUUAUGAGGCGAUAUUGACUUUCGAAUUUGCAUUUGCUCCGAGAAAUAAAAGUUUUAACAGGCUCCAAAUUUGGUUGUUCUUGAGAUCGAAUAAUUCCAAAUUUGGUGAAACAUUCAUGAGUAACUUGAUGAAUGAAGAUAGAUGUGAUAAAGAGAUAGAAAUUUUCACUGAGCAUCCGAGAUUAGGAUAAAUCUCCCGACAUAACGCGAAAUAGACACCUGGGGUGUCACACCGAUACCUUUUCGUUGUUUACAUUUUCAAAAAGAGACCCUAGGAAAAUAGCUUAUCAACCCACAGUCUAUUUCUGGUCAAAGACUAUUAUAGCCAGGUCUAGAAAUUUACAAAAUAGACCCUAGGCUUUAUUAAAUUUAUGCACACAAUCCAGAGGUUAGAUAAUUAAGUAAAUAAAUAUAGAAAAGGAUUUUUAGUAUAAAAAUAAUUCCAGAAACUUGUUUAAUUCAUAUUUAAUAAAUUCUAACACCUUUUUCAUCCAUUCCAGUUGCAUUAAAUUCGUAUUAAUAUUGUUUAUCAUCUGGUAACCCUGUUUUUUCAUAAAACAUAGGUUACAAUUAUGCACUUAAUUUAUUCUAUAUCUAAUACUUAAAACUUCAUAAAAUCAUAACUCGUUAACCAUAACUCCGAAUUUAGUGAUUCUCAAACCUAUGAUCUUGUUGUGAUGCGUAGAUCAUUAUUAUGCAAUAUGUUAUCAUGAUUGGUGUGAUGUUAAUUUUGCCUGUACAAUGUUUGUUUGUAUUGCUACGAGUACCAGCGAGGUUAUGAGUGAGAGCACCUAGAGGGGGGGGUGAAUAGGUGAUCCUGUAAAAUUCAACACUAAUAGCCACAAAACUUUGUUAUGUAAGUUAGAACGACUAAGUAGAUUGAAAUGAGUUCUUGUGAACACAGAUAAUCAAGGUAAAGCACACAAGAGACACGCAAUUUUUAUCCCGUGGUUCGGCCAAGUAACACUUGCCUACUUCCACGUUGUGGUGUCUGAGAGCACCUAGAGGGGGGGGUGAAUAGGUGAUCCUGUAAAAUUCAAUACUAAAUAACCACAAGCUUGGUUAUAAAGAUGUUAGUGCAACAGAACCAAGUGGCUAUAGAGCGAGCUCUUGCGAAUCACAAAAAUCACAGAGAAAGACAACACAAGAGACACAGUGGUUUAUCCCGUGGUUCGGCCAAGUAUAACACUUGCCUACCUCCACGUUGUGGCGUCCCAAUGGACGAGGGUUACACUCAACCCCUUUCAAGCGAUCCGAUGAUCAACUUGAAUACCACGGUAUUCUUCCUUAUAGUUUUCUUCCCGUUUGCGAGGAAUCUCCAUAAGUUGGAGCCUCUCGCCCUUACAAGAUUGAUCUCAAAGAAAGCACGGAGUAAGGUUGGGAAGAGCAACGCACACUAGAAUUAAAUCCACACCGUAAACACGCACACAAGUGAGAAGAUGAGCACACAAAACACGCGCGGGGAGUUUACAACUCAAAAUGUGCUCCAAUCUCAAGAAUGAUGACCGAUUGUGUGAAAGUGAGGACUAGAAGUCUUGAAAUGCUUAGAGUGUGCUUGGGUGACUCCUCCAUGCGCCUAGGGGUCCCUUUUAUAGCCCCAAGGCAACUAGGAGCCGUUGGAGGCCAACAAGGAAGGCCAAAGUUGCCUUCUGUCGGGUGGCGCACCGGACAGUCCGGUGCACCACCGGACAACCAUUGUUCAUGUCUGGUGCGCGGUCUCCUUACUAUUUUGGCACAAACGACAGUUGCCGAUUUGCGGCAGUUGGCGCACCGGACACUGUUCGGUGCACACCGGACAGUCGGUUGCCCCCUGCCGACCGUUGGCGCGAGCCACGCGUCGCCCGCGGAUUGCGCGGCCGACCGUUGCGCUGGCGACCGUUGGCUCACCGGACAGUCCAGUGCACCACUGGACAGUCCGGUGAAUUAUAGUCGUAGGCCGCCAAAUUUUCCCGAGAGCGGCCUGUUCACCGGAGUUCAGCCUUGUGCACCACCGGACAGUCCGGUGUGCCAGAUUGAGCAGAGAUUUGGCUGCACCGAGCCAAGUCUUUUGGUUCUUUUCUUUUCUCUGUUUCUAGCACUUAGACAACAUAUAUUAGUACUCAAAACAAUGUACUAAGUCUAGACACGUACCUUGUUACAUGAUUUGCACUUCUCUCUUCAUUUGGCACAUAAUAACUCACUCACUAUGUGUUGGUCACUUAAUCACCAAAAUAUAAUAGAAAUGGCCCAAGGGCACAUUUCCCUUUCAAUCUCCUCCUUUUUGGUGAUUUAUGCCAACACAUCAAAAAGCAAUGCAACACAUGUAACAUCGAUUCAAAUUGAAGACCAAAUUGUUUUUUAUUCUAAUUUGGCAUAUUUGGAUCCUUCUUUGCCGCCACUUGGUUUGUUUUUGCAAAUCAAAUUCAUUUUCCUAUCUCUAAGUCAAACUCACUUGUUUAGGCAUAAAGAGAGAUACUCCAAGAGUUACAAUGAUCAAGAUCCAAAAACUCCCCCUUUUUCCCAUAAUCAUAAAUUUUCCACCACAGGAGGCUAAAUUUUGCAAUAAGAGUAAAAUCAAAAGUUCUAACUCUACUAUUUUCAAAAUUUCUCAAGUGGUAGCUGAUCCAUUUGCUUUGGCCUUAAUUUCUCCCCCUUUGGCAUCAAGCACCAAAACAGGAUCAUUUUUGGCCCUUUAACCCCAUUGCCUUACCAAAAUCAUCAAUUGAGAGCAAAAGGCAAUAAGAUCAUAAGAAUGAACUUGGAGGUGAGACACUAAUACCGGAGUGCAGUGGAAGUCUUUGCAUGGUCCAAGUUCACCUUUCCCUUUCAAUUCACCUUUGAGACUACAUCAAAUACACUCAAACACAAAGGUUAGUCUCAAAGGAUCAAGUUGUAGCACUUCUCCCCCUAAAUAUGUGUAUCAUUCACACAUGGACUUGUGAGGUCCUGGGAUCCCUUGCACAACUUGAGCACCAUAAAUAAUCAACAAAUUUCAUAAAUGCAGAAGUAACAUGAUCAAAGGCAUAAAACACAUGUAUGCUAUAGAUCAAUCCAAGUUACAUGAAUCUAAGACAUUUAGCUCACUACGCAACCUGCAAAAGGUCUUCUCAUCUAAUGGCUUGGUAAAGAUAUCGACUAGUUGGUUCUCGGUGCUAAUAUGGAAAACCUUGAUAUCUCCCUUUUGCCGGUGGUCUCUCAGAAAGUGAUGCCGGAUGUCUAUGUGCUUAGUGCGGCUGUAUUCAACAGGAUUAUCCGCCAUGCGGAUUGCACUCUCAUUGUCACAUAGGAGUGGGACUUUUCUCAGAUUGUAGCCGAAGUCCUGGAGAGUUUGCCUCAUCCAAAGUAGUUGCGCGCAGCACUGUCCUGCGGCAACAUACUCGGCCUCAGCGGUGGAUAGGGCAACGGAGGUUUGUUUCUUUGAACUCCAAGACACCAGGGACCUUCCUAGGAAUUGGCACGUCCCUGAUGUACUCUUCCUAUCAACCUUGCAUCCAGCAUAACAGAAGUCUGAGUAUCCAAUUAAGUCAAAGGUAGACCCCUUUGGAUACCAGAUCCUGAAGCAAGGCAUAGUGACUAAAUACCUAAGAAUUCGCUUAACAGCCACAAGGUGACAUUCCCUUGGUCGGAUUGAAAUCUAGCACACAUGCAUACGCUACGCAUAAUAUCCGGUCUACUAGCACAUAAAUAAAGUAAUGACCCUAUCAUAGACCGGUAUGCCUUUUGAUCAACGGACUUACCUCCUUUGUUGAGGUCAACAUGCACGUCGAUUCCCAUCGGUGUCUUUGUGGGUUUGGCGUCCUUCAUCCCAAACCUCUUGAGAAGAUCUUGAGUGUACUUCGUUUGGGAGAUGAAGGUGCCAUCCUUGAGUUGCUUCACAUGGAAUCCAAGGAAGUAGUUCAACUCGCCCAUCAUUGACAUCUCAAACUUUUGAGUCAUCACCCUGCUAAACUCCUCACAAGACUUUUGGUUAGUAGAACCAAAAAUUAUGUCAUCGACAUAAAUUUGGCAUACAAAAAGAUCACCUUCACAAGUCUUAGUGAAAAGAGUUGGAUCGGCUUUCCCAACCUUGAAAGAAUUAGCAAUUAAGAAAUCUCUAAGGCAUUCAUACCAUGCUCUUGGGGCUUGCUUAAGUUCAUAGAGCGCCUUAGAGAGCUUACACACAUGGUCGGGGUACCUAUCAUCCUCAAAACCACAGGGUUGUUCCACGUACACCUCCUCCUUUAUUGGCCCGUUGAGGAAAGCGCUCUUCACAUCCAUUUGAAACAACCUGAAAGAAUGGUGAGCGACAUAGGCUAAUAGAAUGCGAAUAGACUCUAGCCUAGCCACAGGAGCAAAAGUCUCCUCGAAAUCCAAACCUGCGACUUGGGCAUAACCUUUUGCCACAAGUCGAGCCUUGUUUCUUGUCAUCACCUCGUGCUUGUCUUGCUUAUUGCGGAAUACCCACUUGGUUCCCACAACGUUUUGCUUUGGAUGUGGCACCAGGCUCCAAACUUCGUUUCUCUUGAAGUUGUUGAGCUCCUCCUGCAUGGCCAACACCCAGUUCGGAUCCUGCAAGGCCUCUUCUACCCUGAAAGGCUUAAUAGAAGAGACAAACGAGUAAUGCUCACAAAAGUUAGCUAAUCUUGAGCGAGUAGUUACUCCCUUGCUUAUGUCACCCAGAAUCUGGUCAACGGGGUGAUUCCGUUGGAUCGUCGCUCGGACUUGAGUUGGAGGGGCCUGUGGUGCUUCUUCCUCCAUAGCUGGUUCUUCUUGUGCUUCCCCUUGAUCACACGCCUCUUCUUGAGGAACCUGUUCAUCAUCUUGAGUUGGGGGAUGCACCAUCAUUGAGGAAGAAGGUUGAUCUUGCUCUUGUUAUUCCUGUGGUCGCACAUCUCCAAUCGCCAUGGUACGUAUUGCGGCCGUUGGAACAUCAUCUUCAUCUACAUCAUCAAGAUCAACUUGCUCUCUUGGAGAGCCAUUAGUCUCAUCAAAUACAACAUCGCUAGAGACUUCAACCAAACCCGAUGUUUUGUUGAAGACUCUAUACUCCCUUGUAUUUGAGUCAUACCCUAGUAAAAACCCUUCUACUGCCUUGGGAGCAAAUUUAGAAUUUCUACCUUUCUUCACUAGAAUGUAACAUUUGCUCCCAAAUACACGAAAGUAUGAGACGUUGGGUUUGUUACCGGUAAGAAGUUCAUACGAGGUCUUCUUGAGGAGGCGAUGAAGGUAGACCUGGUUUAUGGCGUGGCACGCUAUGUUCACAGCUUCUGACCAAAACCGCUCAGGCGUCUUGAACUCUCAAAGCAUUGUCCUUGUCAUGUCGAUGAGCGUCCUGUUCUUCCUCUCUACCACACCAUUUUGCUGUGGUGUGUAGGGAGCGGAGAACUCAUGCUUGACCCCUUCCUCCUCAAGAUACUCCUCAACUUGUAAGUUCUUGAACUCGGACCCAUUGUCGCUCCUCAUCUUUUUCACCUUGAGCUCAAAUUCAUUUUGAGCCCUCCUUAGAAAGUGCUUUAGGGUCCUUUGGGUUUCUAAUUUAUCCUGCAAAAAGAACACCCAAGUGAAGCGGGAAAAGUCAUCUACAAUUACAAGACCAUACUUACUUCCCCCGAUGCUGAGGUAGGCGACGGGUCCAAAGAGGUCCAUGUGUAGAAGCUCCAGUGGUCUUGACGUAGUCAUCACAUUCUUGCUGUGAUGAGUGCUUCCCACCUGUUUCCCUGCCUAACAAGCUACACAAGGUCUAUCUUUUUCGAAGCAAACAUUUGUUAGUCCUAACACAUGUUCUCCCUUUAUAAGUUCAUGAAGGUUCUUCAUCCCAACAUGUGCUAGACGGCGAUGCCAUAGCCAGCCCAUGCUAGUCUUAGCUAUUAAGCAUGCAUCUAGAUCGGCCUCCUCUUUCGAAAAGUCAACUAAGUAGAGUUUGCCAUCUAAUACACCCUUAAACGCUAAUGAACCAUCACUCCUUCUAAAGACAGAAACAUCAACAUUUGUAAACAAACAAUUGUAGCCCAUGUGGCACAAUUGACUUACAGACAGGAGAUUGUACCCUAAUGACUCUACUAGGAAUACAUUAGAAAUAGAGUGCUCGUUUGUGAUGGCUAUCUUUCCCAAACCUUUAACCUUGCCUUGGUUCCCAUCUCCAAAAAUGAUCGUAUCCUGGGAAUCUUUGUUCUUGACGUAGGAGGUGAACAUCUUCUUCUCCCCCGUCAUGUGGUUUGUGCAUCCGCUGUCGAUAAUCCAGCUUCAGCCCCCGGAUGCAUAAACCUACAAGGCAAUUUACACUUGGGUUUUAGGUACCCAACUCUUGUUGGGUCCUAGAAGGUUAGCCACAAUGGUCUUUGGAACCCAAAUACAAGUCUUGUCUCCCUUGCAUUUGGAUCCCAAUUUUCUAGCAACUACUUUUUCAUUUUUACAUACAAGUGCAAAUGAAGUGUUGCAAGCAUGGUAAAUUGUAGAAGGUUUAUUACAUACUCUCCUAGGCACAUGAUGCACAACAUUACUUUUCCUAGGCCUACCAUGCACAAAGGUAGAGCUAGAGGCAAACAUAGCAUGUGAAUCAUUAUUAUCAACAUAACUCCUAUUAUAAUGCGCAUUCCUAGAACACUUUCUAUCAUAAAUAAAAGCAUGAUUCCUUUGAAUGCUACUAGCCAUAGGGGCCUUUCCUUUCUCCUUGUUGGGAAUGGUAGCCCUUUGGCUUGUUAAGUCCUUGGCUUCCUUUCGAAAGCCAAGUCCAUCCUUAAUUGAGGGGUGUCUACCAACGGUGUAGGCAUCCCUAGCAAAUUUUAACUUAUCAAAAUCAAUCUUGCAAGUCUUAAGUUGAGCAUUAAGACUUGCCACUUCAUCAUUCAAUUUGGUAAUAGACGCAAGAUGUUUAUCACAAGCAUCAAUAUCAAAAUCCUUGCAUCUAUUGCAAACUACAACAUGUUCUACACAUGAACUAGAUUUAUUGGCUAUCUCUAGCUUAGCAUUUAAAUCAUUAUUCAAAAUCUUUAAACUAGAGAUUGAUUCAUGGCACACAAAAAAUUCAGAGGAUAACAUUUCAUUUCUUUUAGUUUCUAAAGCAAGAGACUUUUGUACACUAACAAAUUUGUCAUGUUCUUCAUAUAGAAUGUCCUCUUGCUUCUCUAAAAGUCUAUCCUUUUCAUUUAAAGCAUCAAUUAACUCAUUAAUUUUAUCUACUUUAGUUCUAUCUAAACCCUUAAAUAAAUCAGUAUAAUCUACUUCAUCAUCACUAGAAUCAUCAUCGCUUGAAGUAGUAUACUUAGGGGUUUCUCGAACACUUGUCUUCUUCUCCUUGGCCAUGAGACACGUAUGGCGUUCGUUGGGGAAGAGUGAAGACUUGUUGAAGGCCGAGGCUACCAGUCCUUCAUCGUCAGAGUCGGAUGAAGAGCAGUCCGAGUCCCAUUCUUUCCCAAGGUGCGCCUCGCCCUUUGCCUUCCUAUAGCUCUUUUUCUUCUCCUUCUUCCCGCUCUUUUCUUGUUCCUGGUCAUUAACAUUGUCGGGACAAUUUGCUAUAAAGUGACCAGUCUUACCGCAUUUGAAGCAGGAGCACUUUCCCCUUAUUUUGCUCUUGUUGGGGUACUCCUUGCGUCCUUUAAGAACGGUCUUGAAGCGCUUGAUGAUUAGAGCCAUCUCAUCUUCGUUUAGCCCGGUCGCUUCAACUUGUGCCACCUUGCUUGGUAGCGCCUCCUUGCUGCUUGUUGCUUUGAGAGCAACGGGUUGAGGCUCGUAGACGGGUAAUGGACCAUUAAGCGCGUCGUCUACAUAUCGGGCUUCUUUCACCAUCAUGCGCCCGCUCACAAACUUUCCGAGUAUCUCCUCGGGCGUCAUCUUUGUGUACCUAGGAUUUUCAUGGAUGAGGUUCACAAGAUGAGGAUCAAUAACAGUAAAAGACCUGAGCAUAAGUCGAACGACGUCGUGGUCUGUCCAUCUUGUGCUUCCAUAGCUCCUAAUCUUGUUGACCAGGGUCUUGAGCCUGUUGUACGUUUGUGCUGGCUCCUCUCCCCUGAUCAUCGCGAAUCUUCCCAGCUCGCCCUCCACCAACUCCAUUUUGGUGAUCAUGGUGGCGUCGUUUCCCUCAUGUGAUAGUUUGAGGGUGUCCCAGAUUUGCUUGGUGUUGUCCAAGCCGCUCACCUUGUUGUACUCAUCCCUGCACAAAGAUGCUAGCAAAACAGUGGUAGCUUGUGCAUUUUUAUGAAUUUGCUCGUUAAUAAAUACAGGUUUAUCCGUACUAUCAAAUUGCAUUCCAUUUUCAACUAUCUCCCAAAUACUAGGAUGGAGAGAAAAUAAGUGACUACACAUUUUGUGACUCCAAAAAGAGUAGUCCUCUCCAUCAAAGUGUGAAGGUUUACCAAUAGGAAUUGAAAGCAAAUGAGCAUUGGAAUUGAAAGGAAUACGAGAAUAAUCAAAUGAAAAAUUUGAAUUAACCGGUUUCUUUUUCUCGUCGUCAUCGUCUCUUGGUGAAGAAGAAGAUUCGUCGCUGUCGUAGUAGACGAUCUUCUUGAUGCGCCUCUUCUUCUUCCCGUCCUUCUUCUUGUGACUUGAGCCAGAGUCAGUUGGCUUGUCAUCUCUUGGCUCGUUGAAGAUGGACUCCUUCUCUUUAUCGUUGACCACCAUCCCCUUUCCCUUAGGAUCCAUCUCUUUGGGCGAUUAGUCCCUUACGUGAAGAGAACGGCUCCGAUACCAAUUGAGAGCACCUAGAGGGGGGGGGGUGAAUAGGUGAUCCUGUAAAAUUCAAUACUAAAUAACCACAAGCUUGGUUAUAAAGAUGUUAGUGCAACAGAAACAAGUGGCUAUAGAGUGAGCUCAUGCGAAUCACAAUAAUCACAGAGAAAGACAACACAAGAGACACAGUGGUUUAUCCCGUGGUUCGGCCAAGUAUAACACUUGCCUACCUCCACGUUGUGGCGUCCCAAUGGACGAGGAUUACACUCAACCCCUUUCAAGUGAUCCGAUGAUCAACUUGAAUACCACGGUAUUCUUCCUUAUAGUUUUCUUCCCAUUUGCGAGGAAUCUCCACAAGUUGGAGCCUCUCGCCCUUACAAUAUUGAUCUCAAAGAAAGCACGGAGUAAGGUUGGGAAGAGCAACGCACACUAGAAUUAAAUCCACACCGCAAACACGCACACAAGUGAGAAGAUGAGCACACAAAACACGCGCGGGGAGUUUACAACUCAAAAAGUGCUCCAAUCUCAAGAACGAUGAACGAUUGCGUGAAAGUGAGGACUAGAAGUCUUGAAAUGCUUAGAGUGUGCUUGGGUGACUCCUCCAUGCGCCUAGGGGUCCCUUUUAUAGCCCCAAGGCAGCUAGGAGCCGUUGGAGGCCAACAAGGAAGGCCAAAGUUGCCUUAUGUCGGGUGGCGCACCGGACAGUCCGGUGCACCACACAGCCACUGUUCAUGUCCGGUGCGCGAUCUCCUUCCUAUUUUAGCGCAGACGACCGUCGCAGAUUUGCGGCAGUUGGCACACCGGACACUGUCCGGUGCCCCCUUCUGACCGUUGGCGCGGGCCACACGUCGCCCACGGAUUGCGCGGCCGACCGUUGCGCUGGCGGCCGUUGGCUCACAGGACAGUCUGGUGCACCACCGGACAGUCCGGUGAAUUAUAGUCGUACGCCGCCAAUUUUUCCCGAGAACGGCUUGUUCACCGGAGUUCAGCGUGGCGCACCGGACACUGUCCGAUGCACCAUCGGACAGUCCGGUGUGCCAGACUGAGCAGAGAUUUGGCUGCACCGAGCCAAGUCUUUUGGUUCUUUUCUUUUCUCUGUUUCUAGCACUUAGACAACAUAUAUUAGUACUCAAAACAAUAUACUAAGUCUAGACACGUACCUUGUUACAUUAUUUGCACUUCUCUCUUCAUUUGGCACAUAAUAACUCACUCACUAUGUGUUGGUCACUUAAUCACCAAAAUAUAAUAGAAAUGGCCCAAGGGCACAUUUCCCUUUCAGCGUCCCAAUGGACGAGGGUUGCACUCAACCCUUUUCAAGUGAUCCGAUGAUCAACUUGAAUACCACGGUUUUUCCUUUCUUUGUCUUUCUCCCGUUUGCGAGGAAUCUCCACAACUUGGAGCCUCUCGCCCUUACAAUGAAGAUCACAAAAGAUGUAUGGAAGUAAGGGAGGGGAGAGCAACACACAAGACUCAAAACACAGCACAAUCACGCACACAAAGUCACAACUUGAGCUCAAAGCACAACUCUCGCAGUUCUCAACUCAAAUGGAGCUCAAGUCACUAUCUCAAAGAAUCAAAUGCGCGAAGUUGGAGUCUUGGAGGCUUAGAAUGUUUCUUGAAUUCUUGGGUACCUCCUCCAUGCGCCUAGGGGUCCCUUUUAUAGCCCCAAGGCAGCUAGGAGCCGUUGGAGGUCAACAAGGAAGGCUAUCCUUGCCUUCUGUUGGGUGGCACACCGGACAGCCACUGUUCAUGUUGGUGCGUGAUCUCCUUCCUAUUCUAGCGCAGACAACUGUUGCAGAUUCGUGGCGGUUGGCGCACCGGACACUAUUCGGUGCACACCGGAUAGUCCGGUGCCCCAUGCGACCGUUGGCGCGGGCCACGCGUCGCCCGCGGAUUGCGCGGCCGACCGUUGCGCUGGCGGCCGUUGGCUCACCGGACAGUCCGGUGCACCACCGGACAGUCUGGUGAAUUAUAGUCGUACGUCGCCAAAUUCUCCCGAGAGCGGCCUGUUCACCGGAGGCCAACCUCGCGCACCGGACACUGUCCGGUGCACCACCGGAUAGUCCGGUGUGCCAGACUGAGCAGAGAUUUGGCUGCACCGAUCCAAGUCUUUUCGUUCUUUUCUUUUCUCUGUUUCUAGCACUUAGACAAAAUAUGUUAGUACUCAAAACAAUGUACUAAGUCUAGAAACAUACCUUGUUACAUGAUUUGCAUCUUUUGCUUGUUUGGCACAUAAUAUUUCACUCACUAUGUGUUGGACACUUAAUCACCAAAACAUUAUAGAAAUGGCCCAAGGGCACAUUUCCCUUUCAAUGAGUCACUUGAAGACCAAGUUGGGGGAAAUACCUGGGAUCUCAAGUCUAAGGGAAGUUGUGCCCUUGAUCACUUUUCUCUCUACCUAAUAAUGUUCUCUGUUAAUCACUAUGAUAUGCUCAGGUUAAUUUGAUGGGUCCUAAUAGGUUUCCCCAGAUUUGUUUACCCCACCCCUUGUAGACAAAUGAAUUAUUGGGUAGACUUUCUGUUGCUUUACCUAGUUUUGGGAUUAAUGUUACAUUUGAAUUAUGAUCAUGUUCCAAUUAUGCUGUUGUUUUAAUUAUUGUUCAUGACAAGAUCAUUGUGUUAAUUGGAACAUGGAGCUUAACUUGAGAUAACAGUGCUACCACAAGGGUGGAAUGGGACGCCCUUGGCCAAGUAAUUAGGAAAGCUAGGGAGAGAUUACCUUACCCGAAAGGGGCAAGAGGGGGGCGUCGCUGCAUAGUAUAGGGAGGUUCUCAGUUCGAACUGCUGUGAUGGCAGUUCGGACGAGGAAUUCCUAUGCUUCCUUCUUCUUGAAACCGUAGUGGGUAUUCUCGAACUAGUGGAACUUUGGAAAGGCCUCGUAGUGCUACCCUGCCUUGCUUCCUCGGUAGAGGUGUAUGGGGUCCGUACAACCUCGUGGCAAAUGGGUAACACGACUUGUGGGUAAAGAUGUGCAACCUCUAUACAGUGUAAAACUGAUAUAUCAGUCGUGCUCACGGUCAAGAGCGACUCAGGACUCUUGCAUGAUUAAUUAUGGAAUUAAACUUAAUCUAUCAUAUGCAUUGCAUUGUGGGUGUUAUUAUUAAUUUUGAUCUCUUAUUUAUUUGGGUUGGUAUCUACUUAUACUUAGUAACUGCUAAUAAAUCAUUGGCUAACUUUAAAAGCAAUGCUCAGCUUUAACCAUCCUCUUUGGUAAGGCUUACACUUCACAUGGGCCCCACUGUAAGUGAGCUCAUGCACAUUAUUCUCCACAACUUGUUGAGCGAUGAAUGUAUGUGAGCUCACCCUUGUUGUACUCACAUCCCCUAGGUCAAGAUCGGGUACCAUCAAGAUGAGGGGCAUGAAGGAUAUCGCGAUGAUGUUCGUGAGAGGUGUAGGCCGUCGUCUCCCAGUCAACUACGGUUGCUGGAUCGUUGUCUUCAUAUGAUGUAAUUAUUUAACUAUUUUGUAUAGAACUCUUAUUAUAUAGUAAUGAUGUGACAUUCAUUUCUUUACCAUGAGUCAUUAUAUGUGUGAGACUUGAUCCUAGCACACAUGUGAGUCGCACCCGGGUUUGGCUCCCUAAAUCCGGGUGUGACAGCGUUGCCCAGUCUACCACAUGGGCAAAGUAUGUCGCUGCCACUAGCUGUUGCUCGCAGUUGUUAUGGAUGAUGGCUAAUUUAUGGGAUUUUGGCUUGGAUUUUCGUCAUGUGCCUCUGCUUUGUGAUGGCACGAGUGCCAUAAGUGUUGCCAAGAAUCCUGUGCUACAUUCGAAGACCAAGCACAUUGAUGUUCUCUUUCACUUUCUUUGUGACCAUUCUAAGAAAGGCAACAUCAAUUUGCGCGACAUUAAUACCCAUCGAUAGCUGGCUGACAUUUUCACCAAAACCCUUGAUCAGUCUACUUUUGCACAUUUGCGAGCGGAAUUAGGUAUUUGCUUCCCUUUUUGAUCGAGGGCCCCCUUUGGUUUUUAUUUCUCUCUUAUGCUUUUUCACGUAGAUUUUAGACUUUCUUUCUUGAUUCAUGUAUUAUAUCUGCAACUCAUGUAGUAUUUUGAGCUUCAAUUGUAUAACUGCUAGAUUGUAACCAUGCUCCUAGUAGUAUGUUCUAUGUACAUGAUGAUGCUAUGGCAAGCUUAGGCUCUUUUUGCUCAUAUUGAUACAAUUUUGUUGAUCUAACCUUGUUUUCAUAAUUAUGAACUUGACUAUUACUUGCUGAAACCAAAACAUGUUCACCAUUUGAGAUUGGUACCUAGCAUGUUUAGGAUGUGUUUGAAAUCCUUUGCGUUGUCACUAGUAUGCUAGGUGGCUAGGUCUCAUGCUCUGAGUAAUUCAAUGUCUUGAAUAAUAUAUUCUGUGUUAAAACCAAAAUCAAGAUAAGUGAAAAAUUCAGAAAGAACGAGAUGGGUUUGCAUUUGUCACCACCUGUCUGUAUCGAGAUUGUUUCCAUUUGCACUUUUCAAUGAACUUGAAUAGGGUAGUGGAUGAUUGAAACCAGUGUCUUUAGCUUCUAAUUGCAUUUUUGCAUAGGCUACAUCCGUUUCAAAAGUUAGACAAUGACAACGCUUAAUAACCUCUCACACUCACAUGAUUUUCAUUGAAACUUGUAAUCCGUUGCAAAAUCCGAUAAAUCUUGAGAAUUUCAUAUGGUAUCAUUUUUCAUAUAUGAUUGUAGCAUGAUGAGUGACUGUUGUUUGGGGUAGUUUACCUGGUUUACCAAGACUGUCACUUUGUUGAUUUCCUGCUUACUGUAUGCCUAAUGUUGUGGCGGAAUCGCCCAAAUUAUUCCAACUUAAGUGCCUGAGCCCUGCCUUAGAGGCUAGACCACACUUAAAUGGGAAUAAUCCGUCAAUCCCUCGAAUCUAGUCCGACACGGCCACUGACAGGAUCAAGUACCACAAUCUCACUCGAAGGUGAGUCACAGAGCAAAUACAAUAAAGCAUAAAACCAUACAUGAAGGAGUAUUAAAUUAUUACAUCACCAUCGGAGUUUUGCAAAAGUAGUCAUCAUUGUUCAAGGUGCAGCGGAAUAAAACUAGCGAUAAAUAAACAGAGAGAUGGGGAAGCCUGUCCCAUCACUCCUCAUGCUCCUCCUCAGCCGAGGUAGGGUCUCACUCGACAGUCCAGCCCGGUGGCAAGAUGGACGACCAAGUCAAUCCAGCAACCAUGUCCUCCAAGGAACCUGUAAAAUUAUGCCACAAGCAAGGCUGAGUAUACUAAUACUCAGCUAGACUUACCCGGUGUGAGGAGUCUACUCCUCUACCUCUAGACAUGCAGCUGUUUGGCUGUGGGGUUUGGUUGCCAAAAGCACUAGCUGAGUUUCUAAGUCAAGUUUUUAACUUUGUCAAAAUUAAGUGUGACUCUCUUAAGGCUAAAGAUGUACUAUCUAUUCACACAUAGUAGCAAACAUUUUUAGCAAUCAACAUCUUGUAUCAUCUCAGCACAAUUCCACUUGUUACUCAAUGUAGCAGCAUGGUUCAAGCAGUCUCAUUAGCUGCGAGAAGCAGAUGAUUCGAAUCGAGUUUUUAUCCUUGCAAGGUAAAC
rnacentral:lncRNA from 1 species